rnacentral:rRNA from 1 species
UGCUUAACAAUCAGACUGCCAAGGGAUACUGUCAAACUUGAGACCGGGAGAGGUAAGAGGUACUUCAGGGGUAGGAGUGAAAUCUUGUAAUCCCUGGGGGACCGUCUGUGGCGAAGGCGUCUUACCAGAACGGGUCUGACGGUGAGGGACGAAAGCUGGGGGCGCGAACCGGAUUAGAUACCCGGGUAGUCCCAGCCGUAAACGAUGCUCGCUAUGUGUCAGGUAUGGUGCGACCGUAUCUGGUGCCGUAGGGAAGCCGUGAAGCGAGCCACCUGGGAAGUACGGCCGCAAGGCUGAAACUUAAAGGAAUUGGCGGGGGAGCACUACAACGGGUGGAGCCUGCGGUUUAAUUGGAUUCAACGCCGGAAAUCUUACCGGGUGAGACAGCAACAUGAAGGUCAGGCUGAAGACCUUACCGGAUUCGCUGAGAGGAAGUGCAUGGCCGUCGUCAGUUCGUACUGUGAAGCAUCCUGUUAAGUCAGGCAACGAGCGAGACCCGUGCCCACAGUU